CAGUCAUAUCAUGUUGAAACACCAGUUCUCAUAUAAUCACCAAAGUUAAACAACAUUCAGCCUGGUCACUAUCUAGAUGGGUGACCACUUGGGAAUACCAGGUACUGUA